GACGAAGCGUGCAAAAGUUGUUCGGAAUCACUGGGCUUAAACGGCGCGAAGGCGGGCGCCCAAGUCGGUGGUGAAAUCUUUCGGCCCAACGGGAAAAGUGCCGCCGAUACGGGGGGGCUCGAGCGAGGUAGGGGUCGAUCGAACUUCCGUUGGAGCGGUGAAAUGCGUAGAUAUCGGAAGGGACGCCGGUGGCGAAGGCGAGCGACUGGACCCUUUCUGACGGUGAGGCGAGAAGGCCAGGGGAGCAGGCGGG
rnacentral:rRNA from 1 species